rnacentral:rRNA from 1 species
UGGGAGUGAGUGGCGAACGGGUGAGUAACACGUGAGUAACCUGCCCCCUUCCUUUGGGAUAACGCCCGGAAACGGGUGCUAAUACUGGAUAUUCACUGAUCUUCGCAUGGGGGUUGGUGGAAAGGGUUUUUUCUGGUGGGGGAUGGGCUCGCGGCCUAUCAGCUUGUUGGUGGGGUGAUGGCCUACCAAGGCUUUGACGGGUAGCCGGCCUGAGAGGGUGACCGGUCACAUUGGGACUGAGAUACGGCCCAG